AAAAUAUUUUGAUUUCUUUUCAAUCAAACAAGUUCACUAACUCAAUUUUUGUCAUGGUAUUCCGUUGUCUGCUCAAUUCUAGUUUAGCUUGCUGAUGCUUCGGUUUUUUGAAAUCAAUGUAAAUGUAAAUUAAGAAAGAGGAAAGGCAAUGAGGAAGCAACUGGUUUCAACCUUUAUGCAUCACCUGAUACUAAUCAAACGUUUGGAGUAAUAGCAGUAGCAAGUUUGAUAGGCAUCUGGUGAUGCUAUGAACGUAAGAUAUAGAGGCUUCACAAUAUUAACCAAAGGAAAGCAUGACAUCACUGUUUCACGGGCAUUCUGUUGAAACAAUCAUUAUCAUGGCCUUCAUUUUAUGAUUUUGACUGGAUAAUCAAGUUUUUACACAUUCUGAUAUGUAUCAUAGCUCAGGAAUUAUCUCGAUUCAUCAUAUUGAGUUGCUGAAUGUUGUGUCCCUUCAAUGUGAUGGGAAUCGUUGUUGGAAAGCAUAGUAUUCAUAUGAACCUUAUCACUUGAUUUUCAAGCAGUCCUUUAAAUUCAUGACAGCUAUAAGAGUGCAGCCAGCUAUGAAUGAUGUAAUAAUUUCCUAUGUUAAAAAAUAUAAGGUAUAGAGGCUGGUAUGGGCCAAUGAGGUCCCAAGUCUCAGGUUCAAAUCCUACUAGCAUGGGGUUCAUCGUAUUUUUGUAUUAUU
rnacentral:misc_RNA from 1 species